CACCAGCAUGCUCCAUUCGUCGAGAGCUUCGCAACGACAUAAAUUUCGAAUUUUUCCGACACCGUUUUUCGGUGGGUCCCACGGAACUUCGCAGUGUUUUUCCGAGCAUUUAAUGAGCUUAGAAAAUUCUGAAAAAUUUAUGUACUAACCCCCGUGUUAUGGGCUUCGUGUAGGUAUCCUCGAUUCGCGGAAAUUCGACAGUUGACCGGGUCUGCAAAUUUAGGGCCAGACAAACCCGUUACCGGAAAAGUCUCCGAAUUGGACCGAGGUUUUGGCUAGCCCCCCAUUGUCAGACGCCCCGAGCGCGUUCCCGAAGUCGGAAUCGGCAAAGGUGAGCCGGGACAGCCUUCUUCCUCCGCCCAGCCGCCACAGUAAUUUGUCGUCAAGUUUGCCGCAGGAGGAUAUUUUAUUCUGGGUUAACCUGCUUUUAUACUUCGUAGGUUGUUUAUCGAUAUUUGUGUAAUUUUAUUUACUCCUAGAAUUUCCGCAUGUGUUAGCAGUAAUUAUUUGAAUUUGGUUUGUAAUAUUAUUAUCAUGUUGGACCUGUAAACUUAAUAUCUUAAGUCAUGUUUGAUGGAUUGGAUGAGGGAGCUGAGCUCCCAUUUAUUAUUAUGUUGAUGAGUAUGUGGAGGGUGAGCUGAGCUCCCCAAUUGACUAUAUAUUGUGUUUACAGGUCGGGUGAGUCGAAAACUCCCCGUUGGUAAGUCCAUUUUAUGGCCGGACUCUGUCCG